rnacentral:rRNA from 1 species
UACGAAGGGGGGCUAGCGUUGCUCGGAAUUACUGGGCGUAAAGGGCGCGUAGGCGGAUAUCUAAGUCGGGGGUGAAAGCCCAGGGCUCAACCCUGGAAUUGCCUUCGAUACUGGAUAUCUUGAGUACGGGAGAGGUGAGUGGAACUCCGAGUGUAGAGGUGAAAUUCGUAGAUAUUCGGAAGAACACCAGUGGCGAAGGCGACUCACUGGCCGUUACUGACGCCUGAGGCGCGAAAGCGUGGGGAGCAAACAGG